CGAAGCGCGGAGGCGUGUGAGGCACCGCAGGGAGACGGCGGUCGUUUCCCGAGGCUCUGGAGGGCUCGGUCACUGCCCGCCUUCCCCCUGCGUUUUAUCCAAGAGGGGGUUCGGUGUCAUCCUUGAGGCCCCACCGCCUGCGAUCAAGGGAUUACACGGCGAUCUCAGUUAUAACUCGAGCAAAUACAUCUCAUAAUUACUGCGGUGGGGAAAGCUUUCAGUCAUAAAUGCUAAAAGGACCAAUAUCAGGAACGUCUUGUUUUAAAAUACCAUUAAAAAGACCCCAGCGAUUUCUAGGGACCCAGCUAACGGUUCUAACCGAUUUCUCAAUAGUAUGUUGCUUGCUCUGCAGAACAUCAUCCACUGAAGCUCGGUGUUGGAAACUGCAGGUUUGGUUACCGACAGGUGGGAGCUACUUGCACGCUUGGUGCUUCUCGUACCACGAUGAACAGAGCUCUCCAUUGCUGUUGGUAUUCAUCAUGCCACUUAAGGAAUGCAGUAACGUGGAUGUGUGAGCAAACCGUAGGUCUUAGGCCACGACUUAGAUUGCCUCUCUGCAGCUCCUGGUGCAGAAGACACUUGGGUCAGACUCCAAAAACGGGGGGGACUUGGGCAACUUAAGUAAAACUGAGCUGGAAUUUAGGUCCUUCCAUCCAAGACCACAGUUCUGAAAGUCACUGCUGAGCUGUUGCCUGGUGUUGUAGGUGAAUAAAAACUCUAUAGCCUCAUUUAUUUACUUAUUUUUUACUUUAAGGUACCCAGAUAGUCUAAAGAUAAAUUACGCUGUUUGUACAAGCAUGCUACUGUCUCAAGAGAGCUAAGCAACUAAAUGUUGCCAGAGAAGGGGGCCGGCAGAAGCACUAGCGAAGCAUACUGUGGAACUGGUUAUCCCGGCCGCCCCGGCUCACCAGGAGAGCUGCGAUGCGAGGGGCAUGCCCAGUGCGGUGAACUGUGCCCGAGCUGCUGCUGGCAGCACCUGGCAGCAACCUGAGGAGAAAGGCUGCUGGAGGGAGAAGCGGCGGAAGGGAGACCAAAUGGCCACACUUUUGUGCUAGUCUGGUGGUGCUUACUACAAAUCUGUGCUUCCAUAUAGCUGGUUUGGUCCCCAGCACGGCGUUCUCACGCUUUUUGGAUGAUCGCAGCCUUUUUGUUAGGUCGUGGGUUCGCUUUGAGAAAAAAAAAGCCUCUUUGCAUCACUGUGGAGCAAACUCCAUACAGGAACUUAACCUGUAAUUUCACUCUGAAGACUGCUCUUUGGAUUUAGCUCAAGGUAGUACCUUUCAGCCUUCUCUUGUUUUCAAGAUAGUGUAAAAAGUACUUGGUUUAACUAUUCCUUCAUUCCUUAAUACUUCACAUUAUUUUGAUGCUUGCUUCUAGGAGCAGGUUUUAAAUUAAUAAAAGAUCAUACUGAGGAUCUGAUCCAAAAGCCAUUAACAUCCAUGAGACUCCAUUGAUUUCAGUUGGCUGAAAGUAUUUUACUUAUUGAUGGAAUAGCGAAUUAUAAUACGUAUUUCUGUACUUUUGCUUUGCAACAAUUUAGAGCAGACAGCUCUAAAAAUAAAUGUCAUUCAUUCCACAGACCAGAUGCAUCUCUUACAAUCUCAUUAAUUUUAACUACAAAAUGUUAACAUAUUAAGCUGCUGCCAAAAGCUAUCUAUCUCCAAACAAUAAAAAAACCCUGCACCAUUUUGUUCUUAAUUGACUCUUCUGAGCAUUUUUCCAAUCUUUUGAGUGCAGAGUACAACAAGAGACUUAAAAAAGACUUUUAACCACUGUUUGUAUAGUUUGUGAUUUAUUGUAGAAAAGUUAUUGUAAUGCAGUUCAUUUUUGUACAUCUAAAUUCCAUAAAACAAAUCCAUAGAAAUGAGGAUACUACAAGCAUGCAGUCUGCAUUUUCUUUUUUAAAUGAUUCUGGUCACAAAAAUAACAACACUUUUUUUUUUUUUUCUUUGAAAGCCACUAAAGCAGAGGGAGAGCAAAGCAUGCAACACUGUACACAUUUGCAUAGUAUAGUUUACCCAUGCCUUGUAGAAUGCUACACAUACAGUAUCUAUAGAAGUAGGAACAGAAAGGGGCAAAUCAACAAAGAAGAAAACAUACAUUUUUCCCCUUUUUUUUUAGUAAAGGCAAUAAUGUCUUUACCAUAGUGAGUCUGAACUGGCUCCAAGUGAUGACACCGUCAAGCUAUCACUGGGAACUAGUUUGGCUGAGAAACAGAUUUUCUGGGAACUGAAAAGCCCAAGGUCCAUGGUUCGGUUUGAAUGACUCCUUUCAUCUUAUUACUCUAACAUUUUAUAUCUUGUGCAUACAUAAAAUUGUAUUUCACUUGAUUCUAUGCUAUCCUUGUACGAUUUCACUGACUUUAUCUUGUGUGUAUUAGAGGAGAACCAGGCCUGUUUCAAAGGUAAACGCAUUUUGGGUCUGGGCAUGCUUUCUUCUGUAAGCUUACUUUCUUUUUAUAUUUUAAAUUUCCAGCAAUGUCAUUGGAAAUUUUGGGUGGACUCUUUCACAGGUCUUAUAAUGUAAUAUCUUUUUUCCCCCGCUCUCCCCUGAUACACAAAGGCAAAUAGCAUUACAAUCCCAAGAACUUACUUAUCGGGAGUAUUUCAUUCCAGACCUUGGGCUACAAACAGUACUGGUCUAUUCAUCAGUCAUAUGCCAAAAUCUAUACAUUGGCCAUAAUCUGAAGUUUGUUUAUAUUCAUGUAAUUUCAAUUUUGAGGAGGAAAUUACAAGAAAUGAACGCAGGGACUAAUUUUUAAAAAAUCAUUUUUCAUUAACACGGAAGGAAUACAAGUUAUUGAAAACUCAAGUCAGAGACGCAAAAUGCAAGGCUUAGAAAUAAACUGUUGGAAGUAUCAGGCAGCAAUUUAAUCUGAUGGAAAAUGCAAUAAAUCCAUUGACACUGAAUCAAAAAAUCCACCUAUUUUUUUCAAAAAUACAAUGCCAAAUGUAAUAUUGGAAUUCUUGUAAAUUUGUGCUAUUAUAAAUGUGCUUUUUUUCCUUGCUCUGUUUUCAUCUCAUUGGCAAAAUAUAUCAUUUUGUACUGUACAGUAUAUUUUCUUACUAUAUUCAUUUUCUACUGCUUAUACAGAGUAGAAGUAUUAUCAAAGGGGACUGUGGCAAUAAUUUUUGAUUUUUCAGGAAAUAUUUGUAAGGCAUAUGAUAAGCGGUAUGUGGUAUUUACGGUCAGACAUUGCACAUUCUGACUUCCAGACAAGACAGUAAUAAACACUGUGUCCAGUAGUAGUUGUUUGUAGGAUCGAGUUCUAGAGAGAAUCGAGACAGUAGCUCACCGCUAAGAAAUGUGAAGGGAAAGGGCAAGUCUCCUAAACAUCACUGAGACCAAGUCAACGUUACUUCCAGCUUCACCACUUUCAAAGGAAUUAGCUGUGAAGCACAAGAGGAAUGGUACAGCCUUAUUAACGUUUUUAAAUCAUUUCUACCUUCUCUUCAAACUUUCUAUAUGGAUUCAAUUAGAGUAUUUCUCUUGACUUGUUAAAUGGAUUUCACAAGUCAGGAAAAAGACUUUUUUUCUCUCCAGCCUAACAAAAAUUUUGAUACUAAGUAGCAUUUAUAGCUCCUUAUCCAAGUUAAUUCCUUACAUGUGUAUUUUCUACAACAUUAUUAAAAUGUACCUUUAUUUUUAAAGACGUACCUUUAAUUUCUGUAUAAAAUAAAUUGGACUUGAAUAACAAUAUAAUAAAUGUUAUUCAAAUGACUGCUCUUAAAAUAAUAUACUCUCUUUUGGCAUCAUUUUAAAGAUAGUGGGAAUUUAAUUUCUCCAGAGUUUGAGCUGGCUACAUUACAUUAUCAUACAGUCCAGAUACUCUUAGUAGAACUACUAUUUGAAGGAGUAAGAGGUAGCUGCAACAAAAUACGUUAUAGCAGAACCCCACGUAUCCAAACUUAUAUUAACAACAGUUGGGGCAACAUAACCCAAUUUUAACAGAAAGAUUUUUAGGAGAGAAGACAGAUUUGUAUAAGUGGUAUUUUACACAAUAUGCAUAUGAUGAUUGUUUCAUUAAUGGUCACUAAUUAUUUUUACUUUAAAGAAUGAAAACCAUGGAAUCAAGGACAGGCUUCAUAAAUAAUGAACUCACAAAACAAAAUAUAGCAGAGGACAUGUUUGAGGUAUUCUUAAAGAAAGUAAUGGACCGAUGAAAGCCCUAACGUACUCAAAGUAGUAUACUAUAAAAUAACAGUAAGUGUUAACAAUAUUAUUUUGAGAACGGUAACGUCCGUAAAGAUGUGAGGUUCUGGGAAGGUCAGAGGAGUCCAUGGAAUUGAGACCGCAUUGAACUCAGAGAAGACUUGGAGUCAAACGAAACCCAAGUUAGGGGCGUGCACGCAUCUCGAGCAACUCCCGCUAGCUGGCACCGCCGCUAGCUGGCGCACAGAAGAGACCUGCCAAAAGCACUCUCUCGCCAGCAGCUUGCAACUACCUUUCCCCAAUUGGAAUCUUUACUCUUGUAAGAACUCAUUAAACAUUAUUUUAAAAGCAAGGAGCCUAGAAGGAUGAAAACCCCAGAUACCAACUGCAGAAGGAGCUCUCAAACCUGGGGAAAAAAACAGUAAAAUAUUUUUCUAUUAUUUGCUGCAAAACUAAAACUAGCAUUCUCAGUACGAUCACUGGAAAAGUGUCUGCUGAAGGCACAGAGCCAUCUCCAAUCUCAAGUACACAGGAAGUAUCUGGUGCCACCAGAGUAAGUCCAAAGCACGCGAAAUCAGAAGCAGGCUCAAUGCCCAGUAACUAAGAAAUAAGGUGAACAGCAAGAGAUAUAGGGCUUGCUACAGAAACUACUCUUGCUUAUGGAGCACAAAACCUGGGGCACCACUUAAUUGCCAUGCUAAGAUGAUUUUUCAAGAGGAAAUCUAGGUGUAGAGCCAUACUAUAUACUAUGAAUUCUCAAGCAGAGAAACUGAUCUUUGUCAAUCAGACCUGCUUAGAAAAUGAUUAUGUAAUUGCCCCAUUGUUUGUAAACUAAAAUUCGAUAUAAAACACCUUUAGUUAUGUUCCUUUAAGAAUUAAUUUCUUAAUAUAUUCAGGCAGAAAACAUAACCACUUUUGAGUUGUAUGUCCCAUGGGAUCAAUGUUUAUCUAUGUAAUUAUUAAAAGAACCCGCAGCACAUCUCUUACAUACAAACUAGCCAAAAAGAAAGGUUAACAAUGAACUGUCUUUAAAGCAGCUUCAAGAUUUUUAAAAUACUUUGUUAAUUCAUUUACAAACAUAUGAACGCACUGAAGUAUCUUGUCUGUAGAUAUUAAGAUUGUCAUGUCACCUUUAUUGACUAAAUUAGCAUUAAUCCCAAAGCGUCCUAAUGAAAAAGUCAGAUAACAAAAACCCAUCAACAUUUUAUAAACGUUUCUAAAAUCCUCUGUAUAAGCCAGAGCUUAGGAACAGAGCUCUGUUACAACAACAAGAAAUGGCAUGAGAACUGGAAAAUUAGUCUUACUCGUAUUCAUUCAGGAAUACAUGAACUUCACGAUUUCAUAUAGCGCCAUCGCGUAAUAAAUCACAAUACAGCUGGUUAGCAUUGCUGAAGUUCUAAUACAAAUACUAUGAGUUUACAUGUCCUGAUCAACAUUGCAACUGUUAUUGAUUACUGUGUUUCCUAAAAAUUAUUUUUAAAAUGAAAGAGUUCCAAUAGCUUGUAUCUAGAAUAAAUUAACAAACUAUUAGCCUGUUCGGUAUAUUCAUACUUAAAGAUAUAACUAUCUUCAAAGAAUAAAAAAAAACACCAAGCAGGGAGUUCGGCUGGAUCUUUUAUAACUGAUCGCUUACAUCAAAAUGGAAUGGAUGUGGGGGAGAAGAGGGUAAACUAAAUAAAAGAGUAAACUUAAGCCCACACAAUAAAGGAACUCAACGUGUUCUCUCAAGACGAUGCACGACUUCCCUCAAAAGCUUGUUUUUAUUAGAACAAAGUAGUUUUGGCACUUCAGACGCUGCAGUUGAUGGGAUUUGUGCAUAUGUAUUGUGUCCAUCUUUCCUUUUACUAGCAUGACAUGGAAGACUUAAAAACAAGGCUCCAAAAGGCUCUAGGAAUAAAUGACGUUUUUUGUCUAGGAAAUGAUAAAGCAGUAACCUUGUUCACUAGAAAAUAUAUGUAGGUGCUUUGCAGCUACCUGCCAUUAAAAUGCAAAUAUCUUCAAGCAGUUAAUGGUCUGAUCCCUAAUGCUACUACAGAAUAAAGAUAAACAGUUGUCUAAUCUAGGUUUAUACAUCUCAGUGCAUCCUUUGCAAUUAAUACUUUAAUGCACACAAACAAGAAACUUAUUAAAGCUUAUAGAAAAAAUGUUUUGCCUAAUGCCUUCUUUCUCAUGCAGGUAUGUGUGCUGUACAUGUAACAAAUAUUUGUAAAAAUUACUGGAGAACGCUCCACUGUGCUAUAGCAGAAAAUAUCAGAGAAGACAGCUUAAGCUACCAUUCCCAGACCAGAUCCUGCAGUGCUUCCUCAGGCUAAACGCUCUUUGGAAUCAGCAGCAAUUCAGCCUGAGAAAGUCAAACAGGAUCAGGACUUUCAUAGCCAUUCUUAACUCUGUUACUCCACUGGAUGCAGAUAUGUUACAUUUUUGAUCUUGGUAACUGGCCCGUUUGAAUCAUCCAGUGAUGUUCAAGGCCUUCUUUUAGGCAGUAGCUGUUCAAAAAACUAAUCAUGCAUCCGCUAUCUUCUAACGCUGCUAGAGAUGUACGUUACUUUUGGUUGUACCAGAUAUGAGAUGAGUUAUUUUUCUAGUUGUUAACUUCAAGAAGAUAACCAGGCUCAAGAGUGGUGGAAAAUAUCAGUGAUCUUUGCAAAUUGGUCCAGAAAGUAGAAGACCUCAUAAUACUCAGGAAAUGGAUUUACUGCUACAUGCUUUUGGAGCCUACUUUAGUAGGCUUUGGGAAGAAAAUAAGCAAAUACAAAAAUUAAUGAUCCUCAUUGUCAAAAAAAUAGUUUUGACAUGAACCUGCAUAAAAAAUGCAUGUUCAGCAUAGUUCAGUCAACUUUAGAAAACGCAUGCAGUGCGGAACUUUAGGAGUCUCUGCUUAAAUACAUCAAUGGGUCGUAUAAAAUGGUCAAUUAUGGUAAUUUUUUCAAUCACAUUGGAUCUAAGGCUUCAUUGAUAAUGUAAGACAUAAGGUCCAAUUACAUAAAUUUAUCUCUUUAAAAAUACUGAAGACUCAGUAGGUGAAAAGAAGUUUUUGUUAGGAAGUAAGGCAGCAAUAUCUCCAAAGAGUUAUCGUAGUUCUCUGAAUUAAAAAUGUCAGCUCUACAAAGUUACUGUGAGCAGGGUUAUUUUUUUUUGAUACUCUUAUUGUUAUUGCAAGCCAAUUCUGACCAACAUGUUAUUCUGAAUUUUCCUCAUUUCCAAAUGUUAAAAAAAAAAAACCCUUAGAUUUCAUCCACUAAAUUUUAAACAGCUGUUCUUCUGGAGAAUUCUUGUGCGAUGCUGGAGUUUGCAGACAUUCAAAGAUGGGUUUUGAAAGAUGUAACAUAUAGGUACUCAGAUGUACUGGAAUGUAGGUACUCUAUACACUGGGUAAGGAGAGUGUCUUAUUUUCCAUUUAAAAGGGCAGAAUAUUAAAAACGGGAGGAAAAA